GCUGCUGGAGGUAAAUCUCAUAAUAUUGUGGGCGUCCCUCGUGACCAGAUCCCCCUGGAGUUUUUAACUCUCAGACUUGUCCACACUGAGCCUCCAGCAAUUUGUCAAUUCCAAUUCAGCUUUUCUAUCCCCUCAAGGGUUCCCACAGGCUUUUCUCCUCCUGAGUCUCUGCUUUAGUCAGUUGCGCCUUCCUGUAUUUUCCUCUCAAGUGUUGGGGGGCAGUGGUUUGCCCUGUAUCCUCCCCUCUCUUAUCCAGGAAGACUUGUUUUUCAGUCAGUUCAGCUUUUUACUUGUUCAGUUCGAGUGAUGACUUUCAAGCUUCUUACUUGUGGAAAGGAAAAGCAGACGUCCCAGAGGAUAGACUUGAAAAUCCGAUAAUCUUCUAAUUAGCUAUUGGAUUGUAGGAGAAAAAUGGCCACAGAAACACCUAGAGACACAGAGAAGAAGACAAUGUGAAGACAGAAGCAGAGAUUGGAGUGAUCUGUCUACAAGACCAAGGGACACCAAGGAUUGCCUGCAACCACCAGAAGCUAGGAGAGAGUGGCCUCGGAGGUGAGCAGCGAAAGCCCCAAAGGAAACAAAACAGGGUAAGGGAAAGAAUUCCCAAAGCCAUGUCUUACAACUUGGAGAACCG